UGGAGAUUUGAAAUUUAGGCUGCUAACUUGAGUUCGGGGAACAUUAUUUCUCCAUCUUCAU
rnacentral:tRNA from 1 species